rnacentral:tmRNA from 1 species
GGGGCCGACCGGUAUCGACAGCAAGACGGAUCAAUAAAUAAGCAAGUCGAGCAUUGAGUGAGUAGCUCGUUAAUCAUAACACUAAACUUGUCUAAACGACAACAAUAAUUACGCGCUUGCAGCGUAACACUCGAUAGAGGUUACAAUUAAUUCCGAGACUAGGUCUUGGAACAAGCAUUCCUCUCAGGGGUUCGGCUCAUUAAUUCCCUGGCUAAGAGGAUUCGAAAUUUUGAGCUAGUCAAUUAGGAACCUAGACUGGUUGGCGAAAUUAAUAGGAUAAGGUAUAAGUCGGAUGUUUGUAACCAGCUUGUAUUCGAAAAAUAAUAAUAAACUAAACUUGUAGAAAAUUUAUUUAUUCCUUGUUUGGACGAGAGUUCGAAUCUCUCCGGCUCCACAA